CAUCAGCCAGCACUUUAUUGUGAAGGAAAUCUUCAAACAGAACUUUCAAGACACACCAGACUUCACAGUUCAAGAUCAAAAUAAUACCUCAACAGUCCAAACAGGGCUCGAGGCAAGGACAUUGCAGCCCAGAGCAGAGCAGGACGAUCACCUCUGUCAGCUGGUGCCAGAAGAUGGGGACAGUUGUCAAAAAUCAGCUGGAGAAAAAAAGCUAACAGAGAAAGAGGUGAUCUUGGCACAGGGAAUUGAAGAAACAGAGGAAGAAGAAGAUGAGGAGAGUAUUCCUCAUAAAAGUAAAGAAAAUGAGCAUGCAGAACAGGGACUAAGCAUUACACAGG